rnacentral:rRNA from 1 species
GACGAACGCUGGCGGCGUGCCUAAUACAUGCAAGUUGAGCGCUGAAGGUUGGUACUUGUACCAACUGGAUGAGCAGCGCACGGGUGAGUAACGCGUGGGGAAUCUGCCUUUGAGCGGGGGACAACAUUUGGAAACGAAUGCUAAUACCGCAUAAAAACUUUAAACACAAGUUUUAAGUUUGAAAGAUGCAAUUGCAUCACUCAAAGAUGAUCCCGCGUUGCAUUAGCUAGUUGGUGAGGUAAAGGCUCACCAAGGCGAUGAUACAUAGCCGACCUGAGAGGGUGAUCGGCCACAUUGGGACGGAGACAAGGCCCAAACGCCUACGGGAGGCAGCAGUAGGGAAUCUUCGGCAAUGGACGAAAGUCUGACCGAGCAACGCCGAGUGAGUGAAGAAGGUUGUCGGAUCGUAAAACUCUGUUGGUAGAGAAGAACGUUGGUGAGAGUGGAAAGCUCAUCAAGUGACGGUAACUACCCAGAAAGGGACGGCUAACUACGUG